CAAGAGGGGUUUAUUAAGCCCCAAAACAUACAACCACACUGAAAUCUCAAAACUACUCAGACAUGAUGGGGUUUAUUUUCCACAUGACGGUAAGUUUAGUUUCUGUUUUGUUGGUUUAUUUUUGUUUAUUUAUUGUAUGUUGUAUGUUCCUUGUUUCCCAUCCUCCUUGUCUCCCAUUCCUCCUGCUUCCCCUCCCUCUACCCCUCUAUCUCUAUCUUUCUACCUCUCUACCUCUUCUGUCCCUCUCAACCUGCCUGGCCAGCAGGCAGGUGGGUCCCCCCACAUAAAGAGCUGGGUUCUACUUGAGGUUUUUUUUCCCUGUUAAAGGGUGUUUUCCUUGCCACUGUCGCCUUAGGGCUGCUCUGGGGGUUCAGGCAUAUGGGUUCUGUAAAGCGUCUUGAGACAAUUUGACGGGAACAACAGAGACAAAUAUACAUGAGGAACUGAAAACUCAAAGGUUGAGAAUCUACACUUGCCAGGAGCAAGAUGCUGCUGGUAUUCUCAUCGAGGAUGUCCCAGUGCUUCCUGGUCUUGAAACUCCAGCAAGAUGCCUACUCCUUGGAUUAACAUAUGCCCUAAAUCUGGAAUAUACACCCAAACUCUCAGACAUUUGAGGUCUUCUAAAGACUUUGUUUUACUCGACUUGAUGCGGCCAAAACCAACAGCAAGCUUCUUGCCUAAGCUGGUCCACCAUGAACAGUUUUAGCUCCUGUUCAACAACGUCAUACCUGGGUUUCAAAGACAGCUGUGGAGCUUAAUGGAGAGCACCCAUCAACAAGUCAAUUGUUCUUUUGUUAAUUGUCCCUGUAGGCAUGUGCAGGUGGAGUUUAUAACAAAUCUUUUCACUGUGAAGAUUUUAUCAGCUGAAGGUCAGAAUUUGUAUUCUGUAAAUUGUUGAGGUGUUCUAAUAUGAAUCUUAAAAUCAAAAACAGUUUUAUUAUUAUCAUACCCUUGGACGUAUGUGCAUAUGCUAAAAACACUGUUCAGCACUUGAAGAUCAGGUCACAGUUUACUUUAAUCUAUUUUAGUUUUUAAAAUGGAAAUUGUAUUUAAACAGUUAAGAACUGUGAAGUUGAAGAAAAUGCUUUUGAUUAAUAAAUGUUGGACACAAAUGUUUCUUUCUUCAAUCUACCAGAUUUUAUUAUUUUUUUCAUACUAAUUUAAUAAAGUAAUUUAGACUUUCAAAACAUGCAAAUAUAUUUUUUAAAUCAAUAAGAUUGAAUGUAUUACAUCAUCUUACUUUAAUUUAUUAAGUAUGAUGUAAUUAAUAACUGACUGUUUUUUUAAAGUUAUUAAACUCAAUUUUUUUGCUUUUUCUUCAAGGCUAUACUCAAAACUUUUAACCUGGUGAAAUUCCCAUUUUUGAGUUUUCCUAAAUCAAAAAAGAGAGAAGUUCACUAAACUACUGAAAAGUGCUUGGAAAAUGUUGCCUCAUUUUUUUUUGAAUAUGAUCUAAGCAACAGUUUUUGCAGUGUAUGUUUUUAUGAAAGCCUAGAAUAAACAGUAUUUUUGUA